UACGUAGGGAGCAAGCGUUGUCCGGAAUCAUUGGGCGUAGAGCGCGCGUAGGUGGCCCGGUAAGUCCGCUCUGAAAGUCACAGGCUCAACCUGUGAAAGCGGGUGGAUACUGCCGGGCUAGAGUCCGGAAGAGGCGAGUGGAAUUCCUGGUGUAGCGGUGGAAUGCGCAGAUAUCAGGAGGAACACCGGUGGCGAAGGCGGGAUCCUGGGCCAGUACUGACGCUGAGGAGCGAAAGCGUGGGGAGCAAACGGG
rnacentral:rRNA from 1 species